UGAGGAAUAUUGCACAAUGGGGGAAACCCUGAUGCAGCAACGCCGCGUGGAGGAUGACGCAUUUCGGUGUGUAAACUCCUUUUAUCAGAGAAGAUAAUGACGGUAUCUGAUGAAUAAGCGCCGGCUAACUCCGUGCCAGCAGCCGCGGUAAUACGGAGGGCGCAAGCGUUACUCGGAAUCACUGGGCGUAAAGGACGCGUAGGCUGGUUGGUCAGUCAGGUGUGAAAUCCUACAGCUUAACUGUAGAACUGCACUUGAAACUGCCAACCUAGAGUAUGGGAGGGGGAGAUGGAAUUAGUGGUGUAGGGGUAAAAUCCGUAGAUAUCACUAGGAAUACCGAAAGCGAAGGCGAUCUCCUGGAACAUUACUGACGCUGAGGCGUGAAAGCGUGGGGAGCAAACA
rnacentral:rRNA from 1 species